UGGGGAAUAUUGCACAAUGGGCGAAAGCCUGAUGCAGCGACGCCGCGUGAGGGAAGAAGGCCUUCGGGUUGUAAACCUCUUUCGGCAGGGACGAAGCGCAAGUGACGGUACCUGAAGAAGAAGCGCCGGCCAACUUCGUGCCAGCAGCCGCGGUAAUACGAAGGGUGCUAGCGUUGUUCGGAAUCACUGGGCGUAAAGCGUGCGUAGGCGGCUUUGCAAGUCAAGGGUGAAAUCCCACAGCUCAACUGUGGAAUUGCCUCUGAAACUGCAUCGCUGGAGUGUCGGAGGGGAUAGCGGAAUUCCUAAUGUAGUGGUGAAAUACGUAGAUAUUAGGAGGAACACCGGUGGCGAAGGCGGCUAUCUGGACGACAACUGACGCUGAGGCACGAAAGCGUGGGGAUCAAA
rnacentral:rRNA from 1 species